rnacentral:lncRNA from 10 species
CUCAAAUGUAGUUAAUGACAGAGUAAAAUUAAAUAGGUAUCUUUACUACAGGACUUUUCUGAGCAUUUAAUAUGCUAAUGUGCAUGAUUAUGGCUUGGAGCCUCAAAUCACUUUGUGAUUCAAGAUGGCAACUGGAAGAAAGAGGAGAUAACAAAAAGAGACCCAAAGUGACACCAAGUCUGAGCACACCAUUGGAGAACCUAGGAAGCUCUACCCUAAAGAACUUUCAGACAUGUGCACAAGAAGACCUCUCCCUCCAAUCCCAAAGGGGUCAGAAACUGCAAUUAGCAAGCUGGAGGAGGAGGAGGAGGAGGAAGAGGCACAGAAGCAGGAGGUGGGGAGCCUGAGACAGAGAUCAUCCUGUCUGCCCUUCCCACUUCAGGCUACCACCUCUUGCAGACCUACGUUAAAUGAAAUGAGAAGCCUCAACUUUGACUACUAUUAAGCUACUUGAAAAGAAUUGAAAAAUAUGAGUCUGGAAGCCAAGCCAACCAAAGUUCUAAUAAACCAGGUGGACUUUUGGAAUGCAUCAACAUUCUGGUGUUUUUCAACUUAAGGAUGGAUUUGGAACUGGCUGCAGAAAUGUAAUCAGCAUCUUCUCAAAGAAAAAGGCAGACUUAACUGAAAGUUGAAAUUUGUGUGCCCAAAUACAUCCCUCUGAAUUAUGGGGCUUGGAAUAGUCAAUAACAAGAUACCACAAAACAACUAUCUCUAUACAAUCUGUAUAAAAGAAUACUCAGAAUCAUGUGUAAGUAAAGAAGUGGUUACCUA